UAGAGAAGGAUAUAAGGCCGGUGGAUGAAGUAGCAUUAGUUGCUGUGUCUCAGCGAAGUAUGGCGAAAGUUUACGUUUGGAAAAUUUUUGUCCUUUUUACCGUAUUAGCCCUUCUCGGCACAUUGGAACAAGGAGUCGAGGCAGUUCCUCUUCGAGGAUCAUCCAGAGGACGGAAUGGCAAUGGCGGUAGUGGCAGGAGCCGAAAAGCUACUACCACUACUAAUAGGUGUAACACCCGGCCGGGACGCCGUAGGUGAUAUAUGGACUUGGACCACAACGUUAGCAUGUACUCGGCGAGAAUCUCUCUGCAGCGAAAUCAAACUCCAAAGGAAAAAAAGUUGAGUGCUGAAGGACGAGGUCACCGCUGAUACGACGAAUGGUCCACACGAAUUGAGAGCCACGUCAUAGAAGC